GACGAACGCUGGCGGCGUGCUUAACACAUGCAAGUCGAACGGAAAGGCCCUGCUUUUGUGGGUUGCUCGAGUGGCGAACGGGUGAGUAACACGUGAGUAACCUGCCCUUGACUUUGGGAUAACUUCAGGAAACUGGGGCUAAUACAGGAUAGGAGAUCCUGCUGCAUGGGGGGGGAUGGAAAGUUUCGGCGGUUGGGGAUGGACUCGCGGCUUAUCAGCUUGUUGGGCGGGUAGUGGUUUACCAAGGCUUUGAAGGGUAGCCGGCCUUGGAGGGUGACCGGCCACAUGGCGACUGCGAGACGGACCAGACUCCUACGGGAGGCAGCAGGGGGGAGUAUUGCACAAUGGGCGGACGCCUGUGGCAGCAGCGCUGCGUGCGGGAUGACGGCCUUCGGGUGGUAAACCGCUUUCGCCUGUGCCGAAGCGUGAGUGACGGUAAUGGGUAAAGAAGCACCGGCUAACUACGUG
rnacentral:rRNA from 1 species